GACGAACGCUGGCGGCGUGCUUAACACAUGCAAGUCGAACGGAAAGGCCCUGCUUUUGUGGGGUGCUCGAGUGGCGAACGGGUGAGUAACACGUGAGUAACCUGCCCUUGACUUUGGGAUAACUUCAGGAAACUGGGGCUAAUACCGGAUAGGAGCUCCUGCUGCAUGGUGGGGGUUGGAAAGUUUCGGCGGUUGGGGAUGGACUCGCGGCUUAUCAGCUUGUUGGUGGGGUAGUGGCUUACAACGGCUUUGACGGGUAGCCGGCCUGAGAGGGUGACCGGCCACAUUGGGACUGAGAUACGGCCCAGACGCCUACGGGAGGCAGCAGUGGGGAAUAUUGCACAAUGGGCGGAAGCCUGAUGCAGCAGCGCCGCGUGCGGGAUGACGGCCUUCGGGUUGUAAACCGCUUUCGCCUGUGACGAAGCGUGAGUGACGGUAAUGGGUAAAGAAGCACCGGCUAACUACGUG
rnacentral:rRNA from 1 species